AUAUAAUUGGGAAUGGCAACAGAGCAUUCACUGUUUUGUAAUGACCCUAAAUGAUAAGCUUCAGUCAGUUUUGGCCCUCGUACACAAUUUUGGCAGCGUCGGAUCCAAUCGUCAUCUAUUUCCAGUGACGAGCCUAGUUGAAUUCCCUAAUUCAAACUGAAUCAAGAUUAGGGAUUUAACAUUUUAGAUCUCCUUCGAAGGUAAUAACAAGGGAAGAAUUUCGAUGACAAGAGCAUCAAAAUAUAUCAGUCUUCAAUUUGGAAAUUUAGCGAUAAGCAUCCAGGUUAUAAUGCAAGUGAUUCAGACUCACAUGAAUUGAAGGAUGGUUCUUGAUAAUGCGAAAUUGGUUUCAUGACCAAAACAAUUACGAUGUACUGAAGAUUUGGCCAGAGAACCCAGUAGACCAUAGACUAGGAGAUUAGAAGUUUUAAUCUUCAUUUGGGUCCCGAGUGUCACCUCCUCAGCAAUGCAUAUUUUGGUAGUGUCCACUAGCUUGUAUUUUAUUUUUGAUCAUUGCAUUUAAAUUUUGUAUAUAUAAUGUAAAUUAUGUAUUUUUGUACAUUAAAUGUGCACAUGAUGUAAAUUAAUACAGUUUCAAAUUUCAUAUUUGAAUUUUGUAUGUAUGAAAAUGAUUUGAAUUUCUUAUGUAUUUAUAUGAGUGAAACUUAUUGA